CUGAUGAUUGCUUUGAAGGAAGGAGAGGGAAGUGUUCAGUGCCUGUAUGACCUUGAAAUGUCAAGAGUGGUUAAAGCAGUUGUUCUUCCCACAAGGGUGAUUGCUGUAGAACCCAUAACCAAUCACCAGGACCCAGUGUGAGCACUCAACACCUACAUCAGAGCCUGCGAUAGCUCUUUGGCAUUGCCACAUUGGCUACAGAUGUCAGUCAUCUGUUUCUGGUUGACCGUUGUUUGGACGGUACAUCUGGGAGUCUGGAUGGAAUAGAAGCAUUGGAUCUCAGAUUGGUCAUUACAUUUCCUGCUGAAGUUCCACCAAGAAGAGAGACUGCCACAAGAGAAGGGAGGCAUCUCUGCUUUCAGUUACCAAACCCAUCAGGAACACCAAUAUCGAUGCUGGGCUACAUAAGCAGAAGCAAUCACCUGGAUGUGGGUUUUUCAGAUGGCUGCCUGUCACUAUGAAAUAUGAAAACUUUGAAGCUGGAACAAUACUGUCGGCUUGGAGGAAGAAGCAUCCCUGUCUACACCGUGACUUUUCAAGAGCCGGAGAAUGAUGCUAGCAAUUAUUGCUACUUGUGGGCUGUUAAGUCUACCCAAGAAAGCAAAGGCAAUGUUUUGAGUUUACACCUGGUGCAGUUAACACUUGGUGAUCGAAAAAGUUUGGCAUCUGGCCAAGUCGUGUAUGAGGGUUUGGAAUGCUGUAAAGAAAGGUUCAGUUUAGAUCUUGCAAGUGGAAUUCUUCCCUGGAGAAGGCAAACCAGCAAUAUUAAAUUAAUGAGCUGUCAGACCAUAGAAGACUUCUAUGACAAUGUUAACAUAGAGGAUAAUACUCAUGAAGAUGGAGUGUGCUUGCUGAGCUCUGGAGUCAUCCAUGUGACUUGCAGCGGUUUCCAGAAGGAGGAGGAGCAGUUAGAGACGAUAUUGUCUGCGGCUGUCCAGGCAAGAUCUUUAGAACUCCUGACUAGAUGCAUUAAACAUUGGACAUCUGAAAAGCAGCCAAAUUAUGGCAGUGAAGUUACAGUUUAUUCGUGACUGUGCGUGGAAGAAAGUGGUCUACACCAAAGAUGAAUUUGACCACAUAUGCACUGCUGGAUCUCUAUUUAUUGGAAAGCAUAGAAGAACCCUACAAAAAUGCGAUUGUAUCCUUUCUGGUUAUUUUAAAUGCACCUCUGGAUAUGCACAAAAAUGUUCUUAAAUGUUUGUCUCCUACGUGCUUAAGAAGGGAUUUUUAUUUACUCCUCAAACACAAAGCUAGUGAAAACAUUUGGUUUAGAAUUAAGUCAUAGACAGAAGCAUUGUUUUACUUUUUUGUCCUGUGGAGUUUUUAUGAUUUUUUUUUUCAGUGUUUUGCUGCCACGUCUUUUCUUCUAUGAGAGAAUGGGUUUACUAAGAAAUGUUAAAGGCAAAAAGCCCCAUUAGUUUUUUCCUCAAAAUUUACACACAGUUUUUAAUUUUUAAAGCACAAGUACCUGUAGCAAAUGGCUUCUUACUAGAAUGACGCACUGAAACCUGCUGCUUCAGAGCGGAAGGAUUUCUAUCAGUGGCUUAGAGCAGAGGAUUUUUACUGAAAUCCUCGCUUUUCCAGCACAGCCAGCAGGGCGUGUUUUUGUUCUCUUGAAAGUGCAGGCACACAGAAUAAUAAGAAGAGAGAAGAGGGAAGUCAUUGGGCAGACACUUAAUUUUUAAGCUGCUGGAAUACCCAGAAUUGCUCUUCUGGUUUGUUACCUGACCCAGGAUGGAAGCCUAGAGAGCGAGGGCUGUGAAAACAGUGGUAGCCCAGAGCUGUCUUAGAAGACGUCCCUAAAACCAGGGGGUCAGAAAGUGGCACUACCAGUGGUGGAUCUACAUGCUGGUUUAGAUCCAGUUUUAAUCAUUCAGAGCAAAGUUGUAUUGCGAGGACCCCAUCAAUUACAUUAUUUUACAUCCUCUGGAAAUGAAGAAGAAAACCAAGCGUAGAAUUUGUUUGCCUUAGUAAUUAAGCACUGGAUGUUCUGAAUGUCUAGCAGGUAGCUCCACUGACUGUAGAGGGAACCUGAAUAUAUAACAGAAGUAUUUAAAUAUCUAAAGCUAAAGUUUUUGGAUGCCUUACAAAAAUCAAAGUGUCUUUCUUUCUGGUUACUUCUUCAGAACAGAGUUUUGUGCUUAGGACCUGGCUGUCUCCGGGUUCAAAUAGCUUAAAAUGGCAAGACUAAGACGGCCUUGUAACACUGAUACAAGGAUUUUGGCUUCUCGAUCACCAUGAUUAUGAAGAGUCUAUGUACUUAUCCGAAGAAGGCCGGUCUUCAACUUUUACAGAAAUCACUUGCCCACCUCUGCCAUCAAGAAACAAUGCAAGUAGCACCGUGGCUCCAGAUGCGAAUUAUUCAAUCGCUCGUUUGCCAAGGACAGCAUAGGCAAGCACUCAAGUACCUACAGCGUAUGAAGCCAUCAGUGUCAACCUGUAGCGAAGUGCAGCUUUGCAUCACUGUGUUGUUGUCUGAUAGCAACAUACCGCAGAGUUAAACAGAGAAGAGCUCUUAGAACACAUGUACGAAAGCUGCCAGGAGAUGGGACUAGUGGAAGAAUUCCUGAAGCUUCCUUUCACCAACACUAACUAGAGUGCAUGAAGUCCUUCUUACGGACCAGGGCUUGUAUUCCAGCCAACGAAGUUCUUCCAGUCCGCAACCAACAGAGUGCCUGCUAUUGGCCAGCAGUCCAGCAGAAUCAACCAAUGAAGGUUAAUCUCGCGAGCUACAGAACCACCAGCCAAGAGACGUCCUCCCUUGAAUGUAGAGUUGUGUAAUACAUUUCUUAUGACACCAGCUACAAAAUGGUCAUGACAAUGUCUGACAUGGAGUAGAGUUUUAGAAUUAAUAAAAAUGUUGUUUCUCCUACAUGUGCACGCCUGUGUCUACGCUUUCUAUGCUUUCCAAGUGUUCUGCAACACUGCCAGUCACGGUCGUACUGACAAGCCCUGCUCUUUGUGCUCUCUCUUCUCUCCUUUUCUAGUACAGCUCGGCACAGGCAAGGUGGCAAGGGUGAGGCUCUGCCCACCUUGAAGACAACAGCACAGAGGCACCAGAUCUUUAUAAUAACCUGGGAUUGGGGGAGUGGUGCUGGUGGCAGAAAGACGAAAGUACUCCUUAAGAUCUGAGAAACAACAACUCCUCAUGUAUUUCACUUAGGGGCAUUAAGGCUUUGACAGUGAGAACAGCACAAAGUAAUGGCUCCUCUCCCAAACGGGCAGGAGGAGUAACUAGUGGCUUCAUCUGCUAAGGCACUUGUUGUCCAAGUCCUGCCUGCUUUUAAUGCUUGGGGAAUGGGCUGAAGCGAGAAGGCUGUGGUUGUGAAGCUGGUGCUCUAGUGCUUAAGUAGGAACUUAGAGGAAAGAGAUUAAACAAUAUUCUAGAAGUAGUCCCCAAGAAGUCAUUCAUUUAACAUGAUUGUGAAUUAAAACUCAAUACUCUUCAUGACUGUACUCACUAUAGGCAAAGGGUAUUUUUAAGACAAUUUUUUUUCUGUUUCUGCUGCCAAUAAUAACACAGUCAAACUAUUUCACGAUCAGGCUUUUACAGCCAAAUGAGUUUAUUGGAGUUAGACCCAGGAAAGGUGAGGUGCUCGUUCAUACACUCAUGUUUUGACUUCAGACCUCGGGCCUUUGACUAGUGGAGAACUCAACACCACAAUUGUUGAGGCGAUCAAUCAGUUUUGUUUUAGAGAAAGCAGCUCCUGGAGAAUACAAACCACCCCUGUUAAGAAAAAUCAAAGGAGGAAAACAUUUGUAGUAGAGUGACAGAAUGACACCUUUUUUUGAAGUCAAAGAUGGGUUUCCCUGCCUAAGAAAGAAAAAGCCACUUUGUCCCACAGGAGGAAUUUGGCAGCCUGGUCAUAUUCAGAAGUGCAUUUUGGCAUCCAGCAGACUCAAUAGAAAUAAUUCCAUUAACUGAAAAUAUAAACAAUGGUGCGGUAGAUACUGCGAAAGCAUUAGGAAAAACCUGUGAGUACCUCCUUUCAAACUGAAAGGCAAAUGAUCACGAAGUGGCUUGUGGUGAGCUACCUUCCUCGCACAGCCCUGUGGGUGAGGUAACACAAAUCCACAGGGUUAGGAGAUCUGUAUUUUCAGAGAGAAUCACACGCACACAGUAGCUUUAGGGGUGAUCGAGCUGCUCUGCAUGGGCAGUUACCUACUUUUAGGCAGACAAGCUGGGUCUUCCAGAAGAGAUACAGCUGCUUGAACCAUUGCAAUUGGUGUAGCAACACAGCCAGGCUCUGACACACACAAAAAAAGCCAAACCAAAGCAAGGAACCCAAAACACACCAAUCAAACCACGUACAGCGUGUUGAAAUAGAGAACGUAAACUUGCUCUUACCUACAGCAUACUGAGGAACAACCUCUUAGUGAAACAGCCAACAGCCUUCCCCAUCUAAGAACCCUAAGAACCGCCUUUUUACCUGUCAGUUAUCCCAAGGAGAUGGCAAAGUCCUUAAGAUCUAAUCUGGACAAAUACUGCUUCAAAUGCAGUCCUACAACCCCACAACUAUCAUGAGCCAUCACCUCAUGGGGACAGAGAGCAGCAAGAGCUUUCCCCUCCCAGGCUUAGAUUCAGACUUUUGCUGUGAGACUGUUGCAUUCAUCUACACCUCCAGGCAUUUAAAGAAACUGUGCUUCGUUAACUGCUGUCUGAACACGCAUUCUCACUGUGUCCAAACUUUACGUCAGGUCUCCCCUCCCCUUAAAGGAAUGUAUGUUAUAGCCAGAAACAAUACCAGGGCAGAUCUGUUUAAGUGCCCUCACAGGCGAUGAGAGACCAACACCAGGCUGCAACAACUCAAAACUGUCACAAUGUAAAGCUGUUGGCUUUGUCCAUGUUGCAAGGGCUCCUGAAGGGCAAAAGGAAUAGCAGAGGAGCCAUAAUCCUAGUUUACAGUAAGGAAUGGGAAGCAAAAGCAGUUAGCUGCCAGUAAGAUACAUACCCCAUCCUUUGACUUCAGUGCAGAUCUUUACAUUAGUUUUGCCGUUCUGAAGAUCUUGCCCCUCACUCUAACUCUUGCCAGAAAAAAAGUCAUUGGAAAUGAGAUUCCACCCAUGUGUAGUGGACAAGUGUGGUCACCAAAAUGGUGACUCUCAUAUCAGGCCAGCACAAGGAUUCUAUUAUACCGAACACUGUGAUUCAUGUAAACUUGGGAUGAAUUAUCCUGUGCUAUUGCUUCAAAGGUACAAUGAAGCAAUGGAGGCGGGGGGGUGUGCGCGGAGACGAAAACCCUUUCCACUUCCACCCAAGCUGCUUGUAAUGCAUAUUUCAGGAUGCUAACACUCAAGUAUUUAAAGAAACUUUUGAGCAGAAGCUGCGGUUCUGAGGAAAAAGGGGACAGUUCCUCCUCUUCCCCAACUGAGCACAAUGUUACUGCAGUGAACUGUUGACAUGUUCUGUUACACUUGAACUAUGAACGCAGCAAUGACGUGGUGCUGGCAGUGAAAGAAUCAGAACCAUUAGCUUGGAAAAGACCUUUGAGACCAUCGAUUCCAACUGUACCUGUCCACUACCAAAUCAUAUCCCUAAGCCCUUCAUCUCCCUGCCUUCUAAAUACCUCCAGGAAUGGGAACUUAACCACCUACCUGGGCAGCUUGUUCCAGUGCUUGAGAACCCUUUAUGUGAAGAAAUUUUUCCUAAGGUCCAAUCUAAAGCUCCCCUGAUGCAGCCAGAGGCCAUUCCCUCUCAUCCUAACACCUGACACUUGCGAGAAGAGACCAACACUCACCUCUCUACAACUUCCAGAAAUCUUAAGCAUAUUCUAUCACUUUCCAAGGUCUACUUUUAAGGUUGUUGUGGAAAAUGGGGAAGAAUGGUUGGCUUCUCGCCAGUAAACAAUGCCAAAUAAGGACAUGUAAUGUCCUUAUUAUUUAUCAUUAUAAAAAAAAUAUAGGGGCCAGGCGAGGAAAGAACAGGAGGCAGGAGUGUUCCCUUUGAGGGAGUUCCCUUGACAGGAGUGGAAGGGGACACAGGAUAUGUGGUGCCCCUUUAACAGGGACAGAGAUGCGGCCAUCGGAGGUAUAAGAGAAGCCGUAGCUGGGGGACAGAAUGCCAGAGAAGUAUUUGACAGUCAACAGAAUAAGGAGGAGACUCCAAGACAAUGAUUGGAGAGGGUGAAACAGAACAUGCAAAAAUAUUCCGGGAUUGACCUAGAGUCAGAGGCAGGGGGAGAAGUACUUCAGGUCACUUUUGUGACUUGGUCGCGGCUACUGUCCCGACAGCGAGAGAACAAAGAAGGAUUCCACCUCCGGGGCCCCUCCACCGAGGCUCCCUCGGGGGAGGGGGGGGAACAGGGACGAGGAGCAGCCCCGAGGGGUGCUCCAAAAAGGGGGAUCCUUUCUAAGGGGGAAAGGGAAAAAGGAGAUUUGGUGAGGUGGCUUAGAGGAUGCUCAUGCCUGGGACCAAAGGCUGAGAUUCCAGCUGCUCCGUGGCUGUUGGGCCGGUGGGGAAAGUGGGUUUUGGAGUUUGACAGAGGAGGCUACUGGUCUGGCAGCGGGGGAUGAGGGGGUGGCAGAACCUGGUCCUGCUCUUGAGGAAAACUCCAACCCAGCCUCCUCGCCCCCCGCCCCAGGCUGAGGAAACUGGAGGAGCUCCUUACAGCAGAGCCAAGAAGCAGACAGUGCUUCUUUCAGACGGCUCACAGGAAACAAACGAGGGGAUUUAUUGGCUACUUUCCUCCCUCAGCAAAUCCAGAUGCUGCCUGGGACAGCCUCUCCCGGUGAGCCUCCCACAGUUCGAGAUGCGCCUCUUAUCUUCAGGGUUCGCCUGUAGCGAUGAGCGGAGGGUGAUUUCUGGCGCGGUUAUGGUCUCUCCCCGGGAUGUGCCCUCUUUGUAUCGCUCCCAUUUGUCUUUAGCGCUGUUGGUGAUCCAUCCCUGGCAGCAGCUGCACAGGUGGCAGCUCAAGGAAAAGGGAGGUCAGAGAGACUUAGGAAGGGUUGAAAACAGUGGCUGAGGCAUUGGAGGCAGGUCUGGAGGCGGAGCGGGCAGCUCUGCUGGUGACACAGAAGGCACUGGUUGAACUGAAAAGGGAAAAGGACAUGAAGGUGUUCUCUGAGAGCAGAGAAGAGCAUCUGGCACAGGGGCUCAGGGGCUCUACCUGCUGGGCAAGAACAUCCACAGGAAGCCUUGAUGAAAGUUGGAGCCCAGGAGGAAGAAUAUACCCUGUUGGCAGACACGGGGGCAGAAAGGAUGUGCCCAGCGCGGGUCCCCAAGGGGUGUAAAACGAAUGGUACUCUUGAUGGAGUCGCGCUUCCCGAAUCCAGAGCGGAGAGAACCCCCAUCCCUGAGGCUGAGGUGACGAAGAUGGACUGGCAAGAGCGAGUGAAAGAGCGCUGCUGCAGUGGUUUGGAUUGGAACCGUGGGGAUAUCUAAGGGAGGGGGAAACUGGGAAAGGAGGGGAGAGGGGAAAGGUAGACCUGGGAGGGGUGUAUGGAACCCCAGCUCAGAGGGUGCUCGUGUUUGAUCGGGAUCAACAGGUUAUCGACGGGUGGGUCGGUGUUAUUCCAUGUUUACAAUGUGGAAUAUUGCAAUGACGCAGGGGGCAUCUGCCUGGGUAUUGUGUGAGUGUAUAAAGUGUAAAUCUAGAUGGUAUUGUAUUGCCGGACGAAGAAGGGCUGAGUGUAUUGAGUGUUUCCCUGAGAUCCCCCGGUAUUAUAAUUGCGAGAGAGCUCCCCGGGGGGCGAACAUCAUUAAACUGGAGUGUGGUAAACUCAGACUUAUCCCUGAAAUUUGGAACGUCUGGGAAAAGGAUUGGGAACAUAUCACCCAGUAUUGCCAAAAGAAAUCAAAGAGGCCAUAGAGCAGAGGGCAGGACCGGAUUGAAUGGUUGGCUUUGUGUCAGUAAACAAUGCCACUAAGGACGUGUAAUGCUACCCCUAAAGACCCUCAUGAUGGACUAUGAAGAGGGUAAAAGUAAAACCCUAAUGAUUGUUUAAAAUGUAGUGGAUUGUUCAUGUUUUAGUUCAGACAUGGGAUGGGUUCAAUUUAGGUCUAGAAAAAUGGUGGAAAGAAAAGUGGAUUACAAGUUCCAACCUCAAGCCAAAAAUUAGAUCAAAUAUUAAGGGAAUAAACCGGCUCUUGGCAUUUUUGGCUUGAGGGGGCAUGGAGAUCCAAAAAUGUCUUUCUUUGCGGAUGCCAGCUUGUCUGUGGUGCGGGGUUCAGUGGAGGGGCAGUGCUCACCAGUGGGCACCGUUUCCGCACCAAAAUGUAGCAGUUUUCAGCAAAUGUAUAAAAAGGGAGAGGAGCCUGGACCAGGUGCGCCUCUGGCUGAUGUGACUCAGCCUCAGCCACGCACCCAGCGCUGCUUCCUUGCUUUGCAAAAUUGAAUACCUCAUAAUAAAUUUUUCAUAAUAAACUUUUGUUUGGUUGGAUAAAAGAUUUUGCAUAGUCUGUUUAUGACACCAGGAAGCUGCCUUUUGAGAAGAAUGCCCGAACAGAGAUCCUCAGAUCUCCUGCACAGAUGAGUGCACAAGAUGAAACCUAAGCACCAUCUGAAAUGGGAUGGUUGUCUCAAGCUCUUUAAAAUCCUUAUUUUCCUGGUUCUAAUAAGUUUCCCUGGAGUCGUGUCCCUGUUUUUGUCACAGAGAACCUAACCUGUCCAGACAUGAGGUUUCCUAACUUGUUCCUUUGGCAGGAGUGAAUAAAGCCAGGCAGGCUUGAGAGUAUAAAAUGUCCUUGAGGCCUCUGCUAUGUGCACCCAAAUUGCUUGGGAAGCUUGUGUGUAGGACGUGCAGAUGGCCCCCAUGUCUCAUCUGUGGGUGGGCUUGGUCCCACACUCAGCUGAUGGUGUGGACAGCCCCCCUGCUUGAUUUGCAGCCAGGUCCCAUCUCAGCUGCUCCUGGCUCCAUGAGAUGGGGGAACCUGCAGCAGAGCAGUCUCGCCCAGACCAGCCAGCUGCUUGCUGCAGCCCACGAUCCCUGUUUUCCAGGCACCACCGUCCACUGCUGUGAAGGCAGAAGGUACUGCAGAGACUCAGUGCCUGAUGAGGAUCAAGGAAUAGAGGUAGUUCGUGGAGUCAGAGCCCUUCAGCAUGGGGAUAGAGGAGGUUUUUGACAUCCUCCCACUGUACACUGUGCUGCAGCCGAGUGGCGCUGUGCAGGGUGGAGGGAGGCCCAACCUAUGAGGUUGCACUGAGCGGGGAGGCUUCGCUUAUCAACUGCCUCCUGGACAUCACAGUGAUCGACUAUGGGCUGCAGCUGUUAGAGCACACU